rnacentral:rRNA from 1 species
CCUACGGGAGGCAGCAGUGGGGGAUAUUGCACAAUGGGGGGAACCCUGAUGCAGCGACGCCGCGUGAGCGAAGAAGUACCUCGGUAUGUAAAGCUCUAUCAGCAGGGAAGAAAAUGACGGUACCUGACUAAGAAGCCCCGGCUAAAUACGUGCCAGCAGCCGCGGUAAUACGUAUGGGGCCAGCGUUAUCCGGAUUUACUGGGUGUAAAGGGAGCGCAGGCGGCCUGCCAAGUCUGGUGUGAAAACCCGGGGCACAACCCCGGGCCUGCAUUGGAAACUGGCGGGCUGGAGUGUCGGAGGGGCAGGCGGAAUUCCGAGUGUAGCGGUGAAAUGCGUAGAUAUUAGGAGGAACACCAGUGGCGAAGGCGGGUUGCUAGACUGUAACUGACACUGAGGCACGAAAGCGUGGGGAGCAAACAGGAUUAGAUACCCCAGUAGUC